rnacentral:rRNA from 1 species
UUGACGAUGGAUUACCAGUGAGUGGCGGACGGGUGAGUAACACGUAGGUAACCUGCCCCGGAGCGGGGGAUAACAUUUGGAAACAGAUGCUAAUACCGCAUAACAACAAAAGCCACAUGGCUUUUGUUUGAAAGAUGGCUUUGGCUAUCACUCUGGGAUGGACCUGCGGUGCAUUAGCUAGUUGGUAAGGUAACGGCUUACCAAGGCGAUGAUGCAUAGCCGAGUUGAGAGACUGAUCGGCCACAAUGGAACUGAGACACGGUCCAUACUCCUACGGGAGGCAGCAGUAGGGAAUCUUCCACAAUGGGCGCAAGCCUGAUGGAGCAACACCGCGUGAGUGAAGAAGGGUUUCGGCUCGUAAAGCUCUGUUGUUGGAGAAGAACGUGCGUGAGAGUAACUGUUCACGCAGUGACGGUAUCCAACCAGAAAGUCACGGCUAACUACGUGCCAGCAGCCGCGGUAAUACGUAGGUGGCAAGCGUUAUCCGGAUUUAUUGGGCGUAAAGCGAGCGCAGGCGGUUGCUUAGGUCUGAUGUGAAAGCCUUCGGCUUAACCGAAGAAGUGCAUCGGAAACCGGGCGACUUGAGUGCAGAAGAGGACAGUGGAACUCCAUGUGUAGCGGUGGAAUGCGUAGAUAUAUG